rnacentral:rRNA from 1 species
AACGAACGCUGGCGGCGCGUUUUAAGCAUGCAAGUCGAGCGGCAAGGGUAGCAAUACCCCUAGAGCGGCGGACGGGUGAGUAACACGUGGACAACCUGCCCUUAGGCGAGGGAUAGCCCAGGGAAACCUGGAUUAAUACCUUAUAAGACCACUGAUAGGAGUAUGAGUGGGGAAAGGUGCUACGGCGCCGCCUGAGGAUGGAUCUGCGUCCCAUUAGCUAGAUGGUAGGGUAAAGGCCUACCAUGGCGACGAUGGGUAGCCGGCCUGAGAGGGUGAACGGCCACACUGGAACUGAGAGACGGUCCAGACUCCUACGGGAGGCAGCAGCUAAGAAUCUUCCGCAAUGGGCGCAAGCCUGACGGAGCGACGCCGCGUGAACGAUGAAGGCCGCAAGGUUGUAAAGUUCUUUUCGGGAAGGAGAAUAAGGGGAGCAGGCAAUGGCUUUCCGAUGCCGUGAAUCCCGGAAUAAGCCCGGCUAACUACGUG